UUCCUGUAAAUGAGGAAGGGAGGGGCUCAUGUUUCACAGGUAGCUGGAAGUGAAGAGAAACUCUGAAGAACGAGCGAAUUAAAUCAAGUCUCUCACAGUUGAAGGCAAGAAGAUGGAAGAUCAGGACAGAGCAGAACCUCCAGGACCCAUCAGUCCAUCUAUGAGGAGUGACCGGUCCAAAGAUCUUCCUCCGAGGUUCAGUAAUGAACCUGAACCCUCAGACAGAAAGAGAAGCUUUGGUGAGGAGGAGCAUCCAUCCUGCUGUGCUUUGGGUCAGAAUGUUCUGAUGGAUCCGGUCUGUACCAGCUGCCCCCAGUAUGGGAAACGACCCAGAACAGGAUCUGAACGGCUGACAGCCAAUCAGAGCAGCUGUGCUCCAGAUUUUGAUAUUCGGUGUCAGAGUGACCAUAAAGCGUCUCUGAAGAAGAAG